rnacentral:rRNA from 1 species
CACGGAUAACAUACCGAAAGGUAUGCUAAUACGGGAUAAUAUAUUUGAGAGGCAUCUCUUAAAUAUCAAAGGUGAGCCAGUACAGGAUGGACCCGCGUCUGAUUAGCUAGUUGGUAAGGUAACGGCUUACCAAGGCGACGAUCAGUAGCCGACCUGAGAGGGUGAUCGGCCACAUUGGAACUGAGACACGGUCCAAACUCCUACGGGAGGCAGCAGUGGGGAAUAUUGCACAAUGGGCGAAAGCCUGAUGCAGCAACGCCGCGUGAGUGAUGAAGGCCUUCGGGUCGUAAAACUCUGUCCUCAAGGAAGAUAAUGACGGUACUUGAGGAGGAAGCCCCGGCUAACUACGUGCCAGCAGCCGCGGUAGUACGUAGGGGGCUAGCGUUAUCCGGAUUUACUGGGCGUAAAGGGUGCGUAGGCGGUCUUUCAAGUCAGGAGUGAAAGGCUACGGCUCAACCGUAGUAAGCUCUUGAAACUGGGAGACUUGAGUGCAGGAGAGGAGAGUGGAAUUCCUAGUGUAGCGGUGAAAUGCGUAGAUAUUAGGAGGAACACCAGUCGCGAAGGCGGCUCUCUGGACUGUAACUGACGCUGAGGCACGAAAGCGUGGGGAGCAAACAGGAUUAGAUACCCUGGUAGUCCACGCUGUAAACGAUGAGUACUAGGUGUCGGGGGUUACCCCCCUCGGUGCCGCAGCUAACG